CGGUGGUUCAGUGGUAGAAUGCUCGCCUGCCACCCGGGCGGCCCGAGUUCGAUUCCCGGCCG
rnacentral:tRNA from 1 species